AUACUGUUUGCGCUCCUCCACGAAGCAAAACAUGCGACACAUCCCUUGGGACGUCUGUUUCAGCCUCUCAAGAUAUUGGCAGUUCAAGAACGAUACGUGGUUUUUAUUAUUGGUAAGGGGGAGCCAAUGAGUCAUCCCGGGCCCUGAUCUUUGGAUUGCCUAGCCUCCGGUAUUAGUUUAAAAAAUGGAGAGGUGGAAUGAAGGGAACCCAACCUCGCUAAAGGGCGCCACCCGACCUCCUCAAUGCAGAAGCUUAUCUCAAUUCGUUGUCUGUGCGCAAUUACGCGAACUACUGUAAAUGUUAAGACCAACUUGAAGAUCUUCCUUGUUCGAGUUCAAGGAUCCAGCUUGAUAUCUUAAAGAAGCGUUGCAGGAACCGGAUUGGAUUGGAAACUGAGCUCCAGUGGGCUGCCAAUGUGUGUCAGGUAAAUUAUAUAUGGAUUGGCCGUGGCUGUGUCCACUUUUUUAUUUUUUUUCUAGGUCCAUUAGACCUUGGUUUGUGCACAGACCACAAGUUGAAAUUGGCUUAUAUGAUGAGGUCAGAUGGCGUAUUCGUGAGGUCGGGUUUCGGUCAAGGUUGAUUCAACGGAAAGCUAGGAAAACUAUACGUAUGCAAAACCUGGGGCGUGGGUAGAUUCUAACCCUGGAAGACUUCUCCCGUGUACAAAAAAAUAAAUAUACGUGUGAGGGAAAAGAACUAUCAAUGAUACCAAACAAGUCCCUCAGAGCAAGGCAUCAAACUGUCUCAAGAGCACAUCAAAUCCUCCGUCUGCAUUGCCUCCGAUCUCCUUGAUCCCCUCAACAGCCCAACCCAUGGCCUUCUCCCCCACAAGCUCCCAUGUUUCCUUCUCAUCCAACUGCUUCUUGUUCAAAUACGCCAAGACAAUAAGUGUCGCGACAAUUGACCUCUGCUUCACGUUCUUGGUGUCUAUUCCAGUUUUCUUUCCCAAAAUAGCUGCCCAAUCCAGUUUGCUUUCGAUAUCAGCGGCAUUGAGCCCCAUGACUGCAAAUACAUUGCUUUCCCACUGCCACGAUCCCUCAAAGGACUGAAGUGCUAUCAAGGCGUGAACUGCAUCCUGCGAAGGCGCUGUAGGUCCAGAAUCCGUUUUGAGAAACCGUUGGAUCAGCCGAGCUCCUGGAGGUGCACGGCUGGCUUUUUUGCUUUUGCGGUGGGAAUCAGUUGUUGCUUGCUCAGCCAAAUCGUUACCUUUGUCUACUCGGCCACCUAGUUGUUCGCCACGUUCAAGCACUAAGUAACAGAAACAUCUCGUAAGUAUAUCAGAGGAGCUAGUGUACACAUCCAACACGCAAAAUUGGAAAUGCAAAAGACGCGAUCUAUACAUGGUGAAAACUUACUCUUAUCGGGAACGACUGACGCUGAUUUGGCUCUUUUGCCUAAAGUAGAUAUUAAUGAUUUAGUACUAGAAAUUGGCAAGUAAAGCUGAUAAGGUGCUAGGGACUGGUGAGAAAGGGGACGGUAUCUCAGAUGAGAGGGGUUCAAAGGAGCUAAUUCAGCGGCUGGAAAGAAAAGGGGUAUGUGUCGCACCAAAAAGGGAGGCAGCAGCGGGCCCUUGGGGCGCGGAAGCUGACCCGAAUAAAGGCUCAGAGUGAUGUGCAGCAAAAGGUGACGGAGCUGUUUGAGCUGCGGCUGUGGGGGUUGGUCCAAAUGAAAACCUAGAGAUGGGUUGACUUGGUGCACCAAAAGGCAAUGCGGUGGGCGAAGAGCUGGUCGUAGAGCAAGCAGAUCCGAAACCAUCAGAGACUGAAGAUCCUCCAAAACCUGAUCCUCGUGGAUUGCUGUUUGGCGCUGAGCUACGGAGAGAGAGGGUGUUUGAAGCUGGUGGAGCUGGAGGGAACGAAGCAAGUGAAUAUGGCGGGGGUGGGGGCAGAGGGGCAGCAGACUGGGAUGCAAAGGAGCCUGGAGGACUGAACGAAACCUUACCAAAAUGGGACGGAGUGGAGAGUACAUGUAUGUUGGACGAACUAACUGUGCUCUCGCAUUCUGAAUCUAUGAUCUCUUCCUCAGACUCGUCCGUAUCAUCCGCAGGGUGUCGAAUAUCCCCAGGACCAAAACCACGGGGUUUGCCGGCUUCUAAGGCCGAUUCCCUUUUUGCCUUCCGCUCCGCCAUUUUCCCAUCAGCAGGUGACUCUACGGCGACGAAGGAGCAAUAUUUCCCAGCCACUUGAAACUCAAUUCCGAGACGGACAGCUUCGCGCUUCACGAUAUUUUCCUUUUUGCUUUCAUGCUCGUCGAUAAUCAGCUGUCCUUUCUCGUUCUUGGCAUGGUAUAUCCACCCUCGACCUUCCUCCAGCUCAAGUGUUAUUUUCCGCGCAGCCAGUUGAUGAAGCCCUGUGCCUUGGCCAAUAUUCUCUAAGGGAAUUUUCAACAUCAAAGGCCCAUGUUUCGAAGUGCCCCUGAGAACGAAUGAUUUGAGGUUUGUUCGAGGAGCGUCUGGAGAGAGGAGGAAGUAAACAGUGGUCCUGUUAAAUGGGUAGAGACUGGGUAUUUUGUAAGGCGCCUGGAGUACGUUGGGAGGUUGUACUUUAGGGAGAUCCGCCUCAAGAGGGGUGGCAGUGGCCUUGAUGUCAGGUUCCUGGUAAGAAGGGUCAAACAGGGAGAUCGGUUGCAUCGAUUUUGGAACAUCUUUCUUUGAAUCUACGUUCAUGGUUUCGGCUGGGCGUUUUGUCGGAGAACGAAAAUUUUCGCCCGCGGGAACUUCGUUUGGUUUUUCGAUAAUCUCGAAGUCGUCUUCCCCAUCAUUUUCAUACAACAAUUCAGCCGUAUAAUCCUUAAUAUGCGGCGUCAAAGCCCCCUUAAGCAUGCGGACAACCUUUUUGUCCAAAAGUUCAUUGUCGUUCACGAAUUGGGCGAACCCAUCCCCAGCUCUUGCAAUUCCCUCGAUAAGGGAUUGAGACGCGCCACUGCCAAUUCCCAAGCUGAAAAGUCGAAUAGGUUGGUCAGACACCGCUUUGUUAAUGUAGCUAAAGAGCGUGUUCUGGUCCCAAAUUUCACCGUCCGAGAGUAACAGAAUGUCCAAAUCCAGGUCUUUGAGACGCCUUUCCACCGUGGCCCGUACAGGGCCAAGGAUUUCUGUUCCUCCAAGAUUCGCAGACACCGAAUCCACAUAUUUAAGUGCAGCCUUUAGGGAGGAAGCAUCGUAUGCUUGACUUUUCUUCCACAUGAAUGAAUGGGAGGAGCCAAACGAGCAAAUAUUAAACUUGACACCAACUGGUAGGGAUUUGAGGAAAACCCUCAAUGCUGUCUGAAGUGUCUGAAUCUUCCCCCCCAUGCUACCACUUCGAUCGAUUAUGAAAACGAUUUCUGGGUUAUUGUUUGGUAUGUUGAACUUGGGAACAAGCGUUGCCAUUAUAGCUCGCUGGUUGGGAAUAGUCGGGUGGGUUUCCACAAAAGCGCUCGGCACAUCCUGAUCUUUUGCAUUGACAAUCAACACAAAGUCUUCAUCAAAAAACAAAUUUCCUUGCUGCAUCGUUAGGGUCGCAGAAGCGAGAUUCGCUUCAAAUACGUCUUGAGCAGCAACUGACGUCCGGCCUAGUGUGAUUGCGAUGGGGUGACUUGGUGAUUGUAAACCGCGGAUGCUCGAUCCUUUGUCCACUGAAACAUCCACAGUGAUGUUGAUGGCGCCUCUCUGUACAAGGGUCGCUAAGGAUUGACUCAAUUCGUGAGUGUCGACAGAAGAAUUUGCGUAGCGAGGACAGAUGAUGCUGGGAAUGCUGAAACGGACGCCAUCCGAUUGGGCAUCGUGUUGUAACUCGCCUAGAUAUAUAAUCUCCACAACUGCUUUGGAACCGACGGGGAUUUUUCCUAUGCUGGUGGUGAAAGUAUCAGAUGCCAAGGCGGACUGCUCAAGCAGAGCUGCAGCCUGGCCCUUCUGGACAGCCUGCUGGUAUUCAAUUUUAGCCUUCCCCCGUUCUUUCACGAUCCCACGAAUGACUCGGUUGUCAAUUUCGCACUUAAAACCCACAAUGCUGACGCCAUCGUGCAAAGGAAAGGUGUACUUGACAUCUCCUAGGUCUCUUGAUGUGGGGUUGAUGAAAGUCUGGGUUAAGAUUGUCCUGGAAGAAGCUGAUAAUAUGGUUGAAUGGGCUUUGAGGUCGACUUGAGGGAUGUAUUGGCGCGUUGUGGUUGCCAGAUACCAACAACCACACAGCGGUUGCAGACUUCCGUGGCGGGGCAUGAUUGAGGGAUAGGAUGAUGUAGAUAUACCGUCCAAUGCGCAGUAUUAGUACUUGGGGAUGGCAGCAAGAAGAUAAGCCCCUCAAAUAUUGUCCUCAGAAAAAGGCUUGAUGAAUUGAACACCACAACAUUGGCAUCAAUGGCAAAACUUCGAAAGAUUGUUGUGAUCGAGGCAACCUUUUAUCCUUCUUGCAGCCUUCUCAGCCUUGAAGAGAAGGAGGCGAGGAAGACCAAUCAUCGGCAUGGCUGCUUCGUCCUGUGUCUUCAGCGAUGGAUAGUGGCUCAGACGAGAAUGGGAUGGAUCCUGAGGCUUCGAGCUAGCGAUGCAUGAGAAAGUCUCCACAAAGCUGGCGAUUGGCUCCGUCCCCGCUCUCUCAAACAAGGAAGAACUUUCUCUGUUCGUAAUGUGGAGGAAACAGAGUUUUCGCUCUGAGGCGUCAUGGCGUAGCGGUGCUUGGGUCUGUUGCCUAUCCUUCCCAUCUUCUGCGUGAAGAACUUUCCAACCUUGGAAGGUUCAAGGCAGCUUGGUCCCGUGACCAGCCCAGCGACGGGACGUUCAUCAUUGAAAAUCUGAAAGUAAUACUCCGUAGUUAGCCUAUGGAAUGUAAGUCCCUGCUCACGGUAGAAAUUCAUAUGCCUAGUAUGGUACAGAUCAGUUGUAGUCCCCCCUAAACGGUUGGGGUGGGUUGAGAGGCUUGAUACCUCAAACUUGGCUGUCAGCUUAGGCAUCAGCGCCCCAUUAACAUAACUUCUGCUGUGAGGGUCAGAUUUCAUUUGAGCUCCAGAAUUGAGAGUGCAGACCUCCAUAAAUCAAUUUAAAAGCUGACGCAUAUAAAACAAACUAAAUAGAUGUCAAUUGAAAAAAAAAAAUUACCUUUUGCUAAAAUCAACUCAAGAAUAUUGAAAUCGUAGUCAACCGACCGUGAUACUACCCGAAUGUCAUUUUGAUAUUCAGAAAUUGUAA
rnacentral:sRNA from 1 species